UCUCCUGGAAAACGGGUGGUAAUGCCGGAUGCUCCAUCACACUGCAUGGUGUGUUGGGAAAGCCUUUGCGGCAUGGGAUGGGGUCGCGUCCUAUCAGCUUGAUGGCGGGGUAACGGCCCACCAUGGCUUCGACGGGUAGCCGGCCUGAGAGGGCGACCGGCCACAUUGGGACUGAGAUACGGCCCAGACUCCUACGGGAGGCAGCAGUGGGGAAUAUUGCACAAUGGGCGCAAGCCUGAUGCAGCGACGCCGCGUGAGGGAUGGAGGCCUUCGGGUUGUAAACCUCUUUUGUUAGGGAGCAAGGCAUUUUGUGUUGAGUGUACCUUUCGAAUAAGCACCGGCUAACUACGUGCCAGCAGCCGCGGUAAUACGUAGGGUGCAAGCGUUAUCCGGAAUUAUUGGGCGUAAAGGGCUCGUAGGCGGUUCGUCGCGUCCGGUGUGAAAGUCCAUCGCUUAACGGUGGAUCCGCGCCGGGUACGGGCGGGCUUGAGUGCGGUAGGGGAGACUGGAAUUCCCGGUGUAACGGUGGAAUGUGUAGAUA
rnacentral:rRNA from 1 species